AUUCUCCUGCCUCAGCCUUCCAACUAGCUGGGAUUGCAGUGUCAUGAUGGCCCCAAUGUGACUGCAACUUCUAGGUGUUAUGAAACAAAAGGGACAACAACAACAGCAGCAAAGUUUCCUUAAUCUGAAUAAAACAUAUUUAUAUUUAA